GAUGAACGCUGGCGGCGUGCCUAAUACAUGCAAGUCGAGCGAACGGACGAGAAGCUUGCUUCUCUGAUGUUAGCGGCGGACGGGUGAGUAACACGUGGAUAACCUCUCUAUAAGACUGGGAUAACUUCGGGACACCGGAGCUACUACCGGCUAAUAUUUUGAACCGCAUGGUUCAAAAGUGAAAGACGGUCUUGCUGUCACUUAUAGAUGGAUCCGCGCUGCAUUAGCUAGUUGGUAAGGUAACGGCUUACCAAGGCAACGAUGCAUAGCCGACCUGAGAGGGUGAUCGGCCACACUGGAACUGAGACACGGUCCAGACUCCUACGGGAGGCAGCAGUAGGGAAUCUUCCGCAAUGGGCGAAAGCCUGACGGAGCAACGCCGCGUGAGUGAUGAAGGUCUUCGGAUCGUAAAACUCUGUUAUUAGGGAAGAACAUAUGUGUAAGUAACUGUGCACAUCUUGACGGUACCUAAUCAGAAAGCCACGGCUAACUACGUG
rnacentral:rRNA from 1 species